CCUACGGGGGGCUGCAGUAGGGAAUAUUGGGCAAUGGAGGCAACUCUGACCCAGCCAUGCCGCGUGAAGGAUGAAGGUCCUACGGAUUGUAAACUUCUUUUAUUAGGGAAGAAACCCUUGAAUUCAUUCGAGGCUGACGGUACCUAAGGAAUAAGCACCGGCUAACUCCGUGCCAGCAGCCGCGGUAAUACGGAGGGUGCAAGCGUUAUCCGGAUUCACUGGGUUUAAAGGGUGCGUAGGUGGAUCGAUAAGUCAGUGGUGAAAGCCCCGAGCUCAACUUGGGAAUUGCCAUUGAUACUGUUGAUCUUGAGUGCGGUUGAGGUAGACGGAAUAUGUCAUGUAGCGGUGAAAUGCUUAGAUAUGACAUAGAACACCAAUUGCGAAGGCAGUUUACCAAGCCGAUACUGACACUGAGGCACGAAAGCGUGGGGAUCAAACAGGAUUAGAUACCCCAGUAGUC
rnacentral:rRNA from 1 species